CGUAGGUAACCUGCCCCGGANCGGGGGAUAACAUUUGGAAACAGAUGCUAAUACCGCAUAACAACAAAAGCCACAUGGCUUUUGUUUGAAAGAUGGCUUUGGCUAUCACUCUGGGAUGGACCUGCGGUGCAUUAGCUAGUUGGUAAGGUAACGGCUUACCAAGGCGAUGAUGCAUAGCCGAGUUGAGAGACUGAUCGGCCACAAUGGAACUGAGACACGGUCCAUACUCCUACGGGAGGCAGCAG
rnacentral:rRNA from 1 species